UACGUAGGUCCCGAGCGUUGUCCGGAUUUAUUGGGCGUAAAGCGAGCGCAGGUGGUUUAUUAAGUCUGGUGUAAAAGGCAGUGGCUCAACCAUUGUAUGCAUUGGAAACUGGUAGACUUGAGUGCAGGAGAGGAGAGUGGAAUUCCAUGUGUAGCGGUGAAAUGCGUAGAUAUAUGGAGGAACACCGGUGGCGAAAGCGGCUCUCUGGCCUGUAACUGACACUGAGGCUCGAAAGCGGUGGGGAGACAAAC
rnacentral:rRNA from 1 species